AGCCCCUACGGGAGGCAGCAGUGAGGAAUAUUGGUCAAUGGGCGGAAGCCUGAACCAGCCAAGUCGCGUGAGGGAAUAAGGCCCUACGGGUCGUAAACCUCUUUUGCCGGGGAGCAAGGGCCGGGACGAGUCCCGGUCCGGAGAGUACCCGGAGAAAAAGCAUUGGCUAACUCCGUGCCAGCAGCCGCGGUAAUACGGAGGAUGCGAGCGUUAUCCGGAUUUAUUGGGUUUAAAGGGUGCGUAGGCGGGCUUUUAAGUCAGCGGUAAAAAUUCGGGGCUCAACCCCGGCCGGCCGUUGACACUGG
rnacentral:rRNA from 1 species